rnacentral:lncRNA from 1 species
ACACACACCCCUUUAUUAUGAUGGCUGGUUCGUGUUGCUAUAGUAACCCCUGGCCUCUUAGGACACCGAUGGUUACACAUGACAAUGACGAAAAUAUCAGGUUACAAGGGCAGACAGCAGGGUAAAACAUCCUGUGCCUCGGACACCCAAUGCCCCGGAACAGAGCGUCCCUCCUCCGGCUUUGGAAGGAGAGCGCGGGGCUGAGGGGAGGGAAGGGAGGAGGAGAACAUCCCAGAACAUCGCAGGACUACCAGUGAUGGGCUUCUCUCUACUGAACAAGUCUGGUCCUCAUUCAGCAAAGGAUCCUUCCCACCUUUCAUCCAAGGAUUCCUAACCUUUCUACAGUGAUUGAACCUACUACUUAGCUUAUAAUCUGUUUGCAUAGUCUCAAGAACCCAGGGUCACUUCCAUUUCAAGAUGACAUGCUCUACAUCCUAUAUUCUAGAAGAAUUGAAGUAGCAAUGGGGUUUUAUCAUCUGUAAAAUGAGUAGGGUUGGACUAAGAUGGCCACCAAGAUCCCUUCCAGAUCCAAAUCCAUUGUCCUAUGGCCUGAUGUCUUAUACUUUUUCAAAAAUCCUCCAAAGAAAUUAUGAGAGAGUUGGAUGGAAGAAGGAAGUUGCCUAUUAUCUAACCUUGGGAGUGUUUACCUGGCUCACUUUGAAGAAGUCUUCCAGCCCUGACUCAGGCAGUGAUGGGGAAUGACCCUAUAAAGAGUGGGGAGCUCCAGGAAUUACUAGUACCUUCUUCACCCCCAAACAACCAUCUUUGCUUCCAGACAACACCUCAUAGCCAUUAUACAGAUGAGCAGCUCUCAUGGAGACGUGACCAACUGCUACUGAAAAGAUGUUAUACCUCCUUGUCUACUCAUUACUCAUGACUUCUGAAGACCCAGAAAAGCAAGUUGUCAUCAUUAAAGUCCUUGCAUCAUUAUGGGGUUCAAGGCAUAUGGCUUCAUCAAUGGAAAUGACACUAAAUAAGAUGCACUCUCAUAUGCCUUGCCUCUGCACCUUAAGGGCCAUUGGGCUUUUCUAGAUGGUUGUAUCACAAACUUUCUGCAUUUAUUGUCUUAUCCUAUUAAAAUUAAAAUUCCUUGAAAUCAGAGGUUAUUUUGAUUCCCUCUUUGUAUCCCCAGUUCCUAGUGCAUUUCUUUGCACAUAGUAAGUACUUAAUAAAUGUUUUGUCCUAACUUCCUAUCUCUAUAUA